UACGUAGGGGGCAAGCGUUAUCCGGAAUUACUGGGUGUAAAGGGUGCGUAGGUGGUAUGGCAAGUCAGAAGUGAAAACCCAGGGCUUAACUCUGGGACUGCUUUUGAAACUGUCAGACUGGAGUGCAGGAGAGGUAAGCGGAAUUCCUAGUGUAGCGGUGAAAUGCGUAGAUAUUAGGAGGAACAUCAGUGGCGAAGGCGGCUUACUGGACUGAAACUGACACUGAGGCACGAAAGCGUGGGGAGCAAACAGG
rnacentral:rRNA from 4 species